UACGGGGGGGGGCAAGCGUUGUUCGGAAUUACUGGGCGUAAAGGGCUCGUAGGCGGCCAACUAAGUCGGAUGUGAAAUCCCCAGGCUUAACCUGGGAACUGCAUCCGAUACUGGAUGGCUUGAAUUCGGGAGAGGGAUGCAGAAUUCCAGGUGUAGCGGUGAAAUGCGUAGAUAUCUGGAGGAAUACCGGUGGCGAAGGCGGCAUCCUGGACCGAGAUUGACGCUGAUGAGCGAAAGCUAGGGGAGCAAACGGGG
rnacentral:rRNA from 1 species